AAGAGAUAUGAUGAUAUUUAUCCAACGGUUCUGUUAUAGAUGAUGAAACAAACAUGCACUACCAUCUGAUCUCUU